GAUGAACGCUAGCUACAGGCUUAACACAUGCAAGUCGAGGGGAAACGGCAUCGAAAGCUUGCUUUUGAUGGGCGUCGACCGGCGCACGGGUGAGUAACGCGUAUCCAACCUGCCCAUCACUUGGGAAUAACCUUGCGAAAGUAAGACUAAUGCCCAAUGACAUCCCACGAAGGCAUCCGAAUGGGAUUAAAGAUUUAUCGGUGAUGGAUGGGGAUGCGUCUGAUUAGCUUGUUGGCGGGGUGACGGCCCACCAAGGCAACGAUCAGUAGGGGUUCUGAGAGGAAGGUCCCCCACAUUGGAACUGAGACACGGUCCAAACUCCUACGGGAGGCAGCAGUGAGGAAUAUUGGUCAAUGGGCGAGAGCCUGAACCAGCCAAGUAGCGUGCAGGAUGACGGCCAUAUGGGUUGUAAACUGCUUUUAUAAGGGAAUAAAGUGGGUCACGUGUGACUUUUUGCAUGUACCUUAUGAAUAAGGACCGGCUAAUUCCGUG
rnacentral:rRNA from 1 species